rnacentral:rRNA from 1 species
AUUGAACGCUGGCGGCAGGCCUAACACAUGCAAGUCGAAUGGUAACAGGAAACAGCUUGCUGUUUCGCUGACGAGUGGCGGACGGGUGAGUAAUGUCUGGGAAACUGCCUGAUGGAGGGGGAUAACUACUGGAAACGGUAGCUAAUACCGCAUAACGUCGCAAGACCAAAGAGGGGGACCUUCGGGCCCCUUGCCAUCAGAGGUGCCCAGAUGGGAUUAGCUAGUAGGUGGGGUAACGGCUCACCUAGGCGACGAUCCCUAGCUGGUCUGAGAGGAUGACCAGCCACACUGGAACUGAGACACGGUCCAGACUCCUACGGGAGGCAGCAGUGGGGAAUAUUGCACAAUGGGCGCAAGCCUGAUGCAGCCAUGCCGCGUGUAUGAAGAAGGCCUUCGGGUUGUAAAGUACUUUCAGCGGGGAGGAAGGGAGUAAAGUUAAUACCUUUGCUCAUUGACGUUACCCGCAGAAGAAGCACCGGCUAACUCCGUG